rnacentral:ncRNA from 1 species
ACACCUCAACUCAUAUGGGACUACCCCCUGAAUUUAAGCAUAUUAAUUAGGGGAGGAAAAGAAACUAACAAGGAUUUUCUUAGUAGCGGCGAGCGAAAAGAAAAUAGUUCAGCACUAAGUCACUUUGUCUUUAUGGCAAAUGUGAGAUGCAGUGUAUGGAGCAUCAAUAUUCUAGUAUGAGAAAUUAAUGAUUUAAGUCCUUCUUAAAUGAGGCCAUUUACCCAUAGAGGGUGCCAGGCCCGUAUAACGUUAAUGAUUACUAGAUGGUGUUUCCAAAGAGUCGUGUUGCUUGAUAGUGCAGCACUAAGUGGGUGGUAAACUCCAUCUAAAACUAAAUAUAACCAUGAGACCGAUAGUAAACAAGUACCGUGAGGGAAAGUUGAAAAGAACUCUGAAUAGAGAGUUAAAUAGUACGUGAAACUGCUUAGAGGUUAAGCCCGAUGAACCUGAAUAUCCAUUAUGGAAAAUUCAUCAUUAGAGUUUUAAUAUUUUAAUAAUAUUAUAAUAAUAGUGUGCAUUUUUUCCAUAUAAGGACAUUGUAAUCUAUUAACAUAAACCAAAUUUAUCAUAAAAUAUGACUUAUAGUUUAUUUAAAUUAUUUUGCUUGCAUUUUAACAUAGAAUAAAUGUCAUUAAUUUGAUAAAGUGUUGAUAGAUUUAUAUGAAUACAGUGCGUUAAUUUUUCGGAAUUAUAUAAUAGCAUGAUUAUCAUUGAUUUUCUGUGUUUAUUAUAUGCACUUGUAUGAUUAACAAUGCGAAAGAUUCAGGAUACCUUCGGGACCCGUCUUGAAACACGGACCAAGGAGUCUAACAUAUGUGCAAGUUAUUGGGAUAUAAACCUAAUAGCAUAAUUAACUUGACUAAUAAUGGGAUUAGUUUUUUAACUAUUUAUAGAUAAUUAACACAAUCCCGGGGCGUU